rnacentral:lncRNA from 1 species
AAUCAUGGCUAGAUGUUUAUACCUCAAAAGCAAGGCUUGGAUGAGUGAUAGUUCACUCCCUUUGAAAUUUCUUGGUUUCCCAAGCUUCCUAACUCACAAGCUACUCUUUAAUCGGUUUGGAUUUGAAUUUGCUACUUGGGUUGAAGCAAAUCAAGAAGAUGGAAUUGUUUUUCUUUGGUGUUCUUCCCUCUUGUCUCUCUCGGCCAAGCUCAAGGAAAAAUGAAGAAGAAAGGCUGCUCUAUGGUGAUUAAAAAGGCAAGAAGACUAGGAUUAAUCUAAGCCACAAGUUUUGCCAACACUUGGCCUAAUUACAACCACAAAAAUUUCUCUUUCUUCCUUGCUAUUUUAGUCCACAAAUUUCGGUCAAGAGAUAGCCAUGAGGGGGAAGAUAUUU